rnacentral:rRNA from 1 species
GAUGAACGCUGGCGGCGUGCUUAACACAUGCAAGUCGAACGAUGAAGCCCAGCUUGCUGGGUGGUUUAGUGGCGAACGGGUGAGUAACACGUGAGUAAACUGCCCUUGACUCUGGGAUAAGCCUGGGAAACUGGGUCUAAUACUGGAUAUGACUUCUCAUCGCAUGGUGGGGGGUGGAAAGAUUUAUUGGUCUUGGAUGGACUCGCGGCCUAUCAGCUCGUUGGUGAGGUAAUGGCUCACCAAGGCGACGACGGGUAGCCGGCCUGAGAGGGUGACCGGCCACACUGGGACUGAGACACGGCCCAGACUCCUACGGGAGGCAGCAGUGGGGAAUAUUGCACAAUGGGCGCAAGCCUGAUGCAGCGACGCCGCGUGAGGGAUGACGGCCUUCGGGUUGUAAACCUCUUUCAGUAGGGAAGAAGCGAGAGUGACGGUACCUGCAGAAGAAGCGCCGGCUAACUACGUG